GACGCGCACGAGAUGACAUCUGAAGAGUAAUCAAUUUUCAAAAUUAAUUUGUCUAUCCCAUGUUACACCGUAACAAACAAAAUUCAAUAUGUUCACAUAAACAAUUUUCUUACAAUUAUCUAGAAAAUGUCUACGACAUAUCAAUUAUGCAAUGCAGCUGACCUGCCCGCUUAGCUCAGUAGGAAGAACGUUGGUCUACGGAUGGCAGGGUAACAAGUUUGAUCCCCGGACAAGGCGUAAUUUCUCCGUGACGAUUUGAUAAAAGAUAUUUUGUCUGAAAUCAUUCUUUUUUCACCUCUGAUAAUUCAUGAGGAGAAGUUGGCAGUUACUUUCGGAGAAUAAGUUUGUACUGGUCCAGAAUCCAGGAACAGUGGUUAGGUUAACUGUCCGCAGCUGCAUGACUGAAAUACUGUUGUAAAACGGCAGUAAACCCAAACGAAACAAACAAAUACAAUGCAGUUCUACAUCGAAUUACAUAAAUACAUUUACAUGCUCAAGUUCUUGUGUAAAACAAGACGAUGCAUCGGCAUAAACUAAAUGUCCUUUAUUUUGUACCAUUGUAGUUACCCGUUGUGGAAAUUUUCUCCCAAAAGAGCCACUUGGUCUCCCAAUAUAUUUGCCCCUGUUUUGAAUUAAUCCCCCUUGCCGGCUGAUAAGUCAAAUUACCGUAUGACUAAACCUCUGUCAAGUAAAACAAAUAGAACAAUUAAAAAAAUAUGUAGCAUUGAAAUAUUUGAACACAUAUUUUAUUCAUACACUGCGUGCAUAUCAAGAUACACCUGAAAUGAUCUGCUAUUAUUACUGACUAAACGUUUUUAAACCUUGAUGACGUGGUAGGAAACUAAUGGGAAUAUGUGGAAAUUACCUAAAAUAAUUUAAUUCAAGUACAUGUAUGUAAAGCGUUUAUCGACCACAGUAAAGCAAAUAUUUCAGUCUGACAGAAAUACGAGAUCGUAAUAAGGUAAACGUGACACUUAGGAGACGAUUAAAUCAGAUUGACAAAUAUUUAAAUUAGUGAUCGACAUUUAUUUGAGAAAAGAAAAGAUAUCAUAGAUAUAUCUCAUUGUUAUUACAAGGGUGAAGAAAAUAAAAUUAUAUAUCAAAUAUAAACAGAAAUCAAAUAACUACAUUACUUUAAAAUUAAGUGUAAUACAGAGAUAAUAACAGAACAGAAUAGAAUAACACUGGAACAAAGUCAUACGAUAUACAACAGAAUAACACUGGAACAAAGUCAUAUGAUAUACAACAGAAUAACACUGGAACAAAGUCAUACGAUAUACAACAGAAUAACACUGGAACAGAGUCAUACCAUAUACAAGUACCUUUCGUAUUUAAAAACCAAUUCGCAGAGAGAUAAAUAUGUUCUUUCUUUAAAAUUGGUAAUUACAUUUUUUUCAAUGGCACCAUGUGUAUUGAAUUUCAGAGGACCUUAAAGAUUAACAAUCAAGAUUUCAAAGAUAAAUGUACUUGUAAAAUUCUUUCAUAAAAAUACAGAAAUAUUUUUAGGGUGGCCAUAACCUGUGUUAUAUUUCAAUAUAUUGGGAUCUUUUAUUCAACAAUUCAUGAUACAGAUAUUCAGUAACAUUAUGGAGAACAAGGGAUCCACAACGUUAUUUACCGCUUAGGAGCUAUCUAUAAAAUGUGUAGAAACAGUGGACUCAACCUUUUUAUUUCAAAUGUAGCCUGAGAACGUAUUAUCUUGAAAAGUAAAAUAUACAUUUUCCUAAUAUCUGACAUUUAAUUUCUGUGAUAAUUGUACGAAAAAAAUGUCACGAAUAUUGGAUUGAUACAUGUAACUAACUCGGAGAAUGUUUUUAUUGCUUGUAUAUUUUGUGAUCAUUUGUCGUUAUUUAUUAUGUAAGUGGUCAUAUUUCGAACCAUUCUUAUAAGUUAGGUUUCGAAGAAAAAAAAAGAUCAUCACCAAAUCAUAGAAAGAAAGCAUUGUUUUACAUGAAAAAAACAGUAUAUAAAACAUGUAUAUUAUUCUACAAAACCAUUGUCAAUUUACUGCUAUAUGUAUUGAAUUCCGGAAAAAGACUGCUUGAAGGGGCCACAAUUAUGGACAUUUCAGUGCCCUGAAAAACUCACCAGUUUUUGAAAAACUGUUACAUGUUUUUGCAACAAUGUAUCAGUGUUUAAACUAAAUAAAACAUCGUUUUCAACAAUUGUUUACAUUUAUUUCUUUACAAAUGACAUUUUACUUUAAAGUGGGUCAGCUCGUUAAGUAUCCAAUUCUAUGAGACAGAAUAGUAAAACAUAUAUUUGACAGAUAAGGUAUUUGUUAAGAUAUUGUUUGUUAACUAAUAAUUACGUUUGUUUUGUGAUAUACUGAUCAACCUUAAACCAAGCCUAAACUUAAACUGAAAAAUUCUCAAUAAAAGUCUACUGAGUAA
rnacentral:lncRNA from 1 species